rnacentral:misc_RNA from 1 species
GAUGAAGAACGUAGUGAAAUGCGAUACUUGGUGUGAAUUGCAGAAUCCCGCGAAUCAUCGAGUUUUUGAACGCAAGUUGCGCCCGAAGCCAUUCGGCCGAGGGCACGUCUGCCUGGGUGUCACGCAUCGUUGCCCCCCCAAACUCCGGUUCGGGCGGGGCGGAAGUUGGCCUCCCGUGCGUGCCUGCGCGCGCGGUUAGCCCAAAAGCGAGUCCUCGGCGAUGAGCGCCACGACAAUCGGUGGUUUUUUUACCCUCGUUCCUCGUCGUGCGUGCCCCGUCGCCCGAACGCGCUCUUGCAACCCUUACGCGUCGCCUCGGUGGCGCUCCCAACGCGACCCCAGGUCAGGCGGGACUACCCGCUGAGUUUAAGCAUAUCAAUAAGCGGAGGA